rnacentral:tRNA from 1 species
ACUCGCAUAGCACAACCGGACAGUGCAGCGGUCUUCUAAACCGCGGAUCGGAGUUCGAGUCUUCGUGCGGGUGCCA